rnacentral:rRNA from 1 species
GAACGAGAAAGUGGAGCAAUCCAUGAGUACAGUGGCGACCGGGUGAGUAACACGUGAUCAACCUACCCUCGAGUGGGGAACAACCUAGGGAAACCUGGGCUAAUACCGCAUAACAUCUGCGGGUCGGAAGACCUGUUGAUCAAAGGAGCAAUUCGCUUGAGGAGGGGGUCGCGGCUGAUUAGCUAGUUGGCGGGGUAAUGGCCCACCAAGGCGAAGAUCGGUAUCCGGCCUGAGAGGGCGCACGGACACACUGGAACUGAAACACGGUCCAGACUCCUACGGGAGGCAGCAGUGGGGAAUUUUGCGCAAUGGGGGAAACCCUGACGCAGCAACGCCGCGUGGAGGAUGAAGUCCUUUGGGACGUAGACUCCUUUCGACCGGGACGAUUAUGACGGUACCGGUGGAGGAAGCCCCGGCUAACUUCGUG